AGCUUUUUAAAACCUAGACUGGAACCUUUUCUGAUAGGGAAACACUUUGUUGUGAGCUUCUACAUAGAACUGGUUCCACUACAGGGGCAGUGGAAGAAGCCUUAGAUUCUAGAUACAGACUGAUCAAGAACUGUAUGAGAGCACUAACAUACGGUUUAAGCUGUUCUUAAGGCCAUGUGUGGCUGUACACUAAUAUAGCGUAGAUUUUUUCCCCAUUAUUUUGGCUACCCUCUGUCAUUCUGCUGGUUGGACUGUUUUAUAGUAAUUGUUCUGUUUUUACGGAAACCCUUCCUACUUUCUUUUCUUCCUCAAUGGCAACAGGCUUGUCUUUUCACCUGAGACAGUGUGCAAGUUACGAUUCAUAUAAAAGCAAGUAAACUCACUUCAACUUAGACUGAAGAAUUUUUAGGAAUUUUUCUAUUAAUUUUUAAAUUAAUAGAUUUUUUAUAUAGAAAUAUGUAAGGAAUAAAAAGUGAAAAUAUUCAGUGACACAGUGAUGUGAUGAGACCCGACAUGGAGCAGAGUUACUGUAGCACCCUGCAGUUGAUUACUUUCCAGCAUGCCCUGAAGUGUUUUAUUCCUCUUAUACCACAACACUUUGCCAGCACUAACAGGUUUUAUUUAUUAAAGAACCACACAUUGUAUGUUUAAUGAUGUGGAAAGUCAGGUUAUUUAGUUCCCGUGAUCACUUACGUUAUAGCGGUUAUAAACCGUCCUUUUUCACUCUCUUUUUUCUCUCUUUUGAAGUUAAUAAAUCAAAAAAACAUGCAGCUUGUCAUGUUACUAUGAAACUCCUCCAUCCUGAAGACAUGUAGGAAAACUUAAAGUUACUGUUUCAAAGCACUGACACUGGAGACUCCUUCCAAAAAUGUUCAAUAAACCUCUCCUCACGUUUCUUUGCUGAGAUAUCUCUUUAGCUCCCUGAGGGUGGAGGCUUCAGUGGCACUGCCUUGUUUUUUUCUGGGCAAACACAGGAUAAGACAUGGCUUCUUUGCGGAACAGCUGUAUCCACAUUUACUGUUGAUGAUCUGCUUCAGGAGAUUGCUGUUGUCCUGACUUACCACUGUCCCUGCAAUGAGAACUGGUAUCUUUGUCCAAAGCUACGUACUGUUUUGUCCUUCCAGAAGCAAAGUAUUUUUUUCUGAAUUUAUCCAUGAAGACUACAAUCCCAAAAAUAUUGUAAAUUAUUUAUUUUACAGUAGUAAUAAAAAAUUCAUCAGUUAUGAUAUGUAUAUGUAUAUUUAUAAUUGGAUUAUACGAGAUAUAGUAUACACCUUCUUGUAAUCAUGUGCAUUAAUUAUAGCCUAAUAUUUAAUUUUCUUUUUAGCGCAGUGGCAUGGCUGUGUACCUUUGCCUUGAUUAGUAUCUGCUAUGGCAAUUUGGAAGAACAUAUGGACAAAAUGGAUUUACAUUAUCUCCUGAAAUGUGUUCAGGAUAUCUUUACACAAACUGGGCAUAAUGGGAGGUCUGAGCACUGCUGAGCCUGAGGUUGUGGGAAUGCCUACACACUAGAGCAGGUGAGGCAGUAAAGGUCAUGUUCCUCUGAGUGUGAUCACUGAUUGACCAGAACAGCACUUGCCUUGAGGCUCAGCAGGGUAUUAAGGGUGAGGAAAGUGACCACACACUUUCACACAGACACAGAGAGAGAGAGAGAGAGAGAGAGAGAACUAUUAAGUUCACUUACUCACCUUCUAAAAUAUAGUAUUUGCCUUAAACUUAGACUAUAUUUAAUAUGAAAUGGAUGCUCAUAUAGACAGCUUACAUGUUCCCUGGCCGGUGACCAGUGAGUGACCACACACACCACUUGCCUCUUUGGCAGCCUGUCUGGAAAUUUCUCAUCCUCACCUUCUCAAAUAGUUUCUGUCCAUCGUCUGAUAUUUAAUAUGAGCAUUAAAUGUUGCGUGUAUCGGUUUACAGGUUCAACUUAGUUUAUGUUUGUGGAAGAAAUCCGAGUUUCCCGAUCAGAGUGAUCAGAGUGGACCUAAAGAUUAACAGGCCACUUUACGACCGCACGUGCGAGCGUUUCCGAAAAAAAGCGACACAUUUUACGCACGAGUUUAAUUGGAAAAUCCAUGACUCUCUAGUUUUACAGUCAUGAGACUAUCAGCCUACUAUCAUAUACUUUCAUCAGAAAUAUCAUAAGAUAAGAUAAAAAAUAAAACACUACUGUAAUAAUUCAAUAAAUUUACCAAUUAGGUAAAUAUUCUUUAUUAAUUAGGUAAAUUCUUUUAAUUUCUUUUUAUUUAUUCAUUUUUUUAUUAGAUGCAAAAAAUAAUCUAAUAAUACUUUACAUCACAAAAAUCUAAAUAUAGAAGGUUAAGUUUAGGUGAUGGAAUAACAUUAAAUAAUACAGUAUUUAUAACAUAAAAUAAAAAAUUCUAUUGCACCUGCGCCUUUGCGCAUUUGGAUAAGAAUGACUGGAUGCAGAAAUAUUGCUUCUCUGGUUUCUUAUUCUUUGGAAGCUUUUCAAAAAAGCAUCCACCUCCAGAUUAGACUAAAUAAAUAUAGCCUGAAUAUAUAUAUAUAUGUGUGUGUGUAUAUGUUUAUGUGUAUAUAUACUAAAUAUAAAUAUAGCUAGGUUAUAACAUAGCUUACACACUGUGAAGAUGAGAACAUAUUGCAUUCUUGUGGGUAAUAUGUUGACAGUAUUCUUUGCUAUAGUAUCAUGGGUGGUGGAGUAAACCGACUGUAUGCACAGGUGGAGGCUGUUGAUAUGAAUAUGAGUAGUAAGCCUAGGUGUAUGAGGUUUCGGAUGUAGCCAUAGAUACUAGAAGGUUUCAGGAAACACACAAAACCUGUUUAUUAUGCACUUAGCACUAUGACCCAUUGAUUUCCAAAAUAUUACUCCUGUGUGAAUUGCUUUCCAGCACGAUGAUGGUGUGUGUUUGUGUGUGUGUGUGUGUGUGUGUGUGUGUGUGUGUGUGUAAGCUCCACCUAGUGGUAUACUGUGUGGUUUUAAUGCUCCCACACAGACAGUAUAACUUCUAUCUGAGAGUAUAUCAGUGGACCUGUACUCCCAUGUGUAAUCAUUAAUAGUAAUAAACAUAAUAUAUUCAUAUAUGAUCUCAUAUUUUUUCUUAUGUUUGUUCAUAAACCACAGACUGCAAAAAUCGUCCAUUUGGAAUGAACACCUGCAGUGCUGAAGUGUUCAUCCUCACACCGUUUAUUUGUGUCCAGAUGGAUUUAUAUAAAGACUGCAUGAGAUGUAGUGAAGAACCCUGAUCCGGAACUCAAUGUCUUCAAUCGUGAAACGAAAAUAUUACACCAGACAUA